GAAAAGAAACCAACCGGGAUUGCCUUAGUAACGGCGAGUGAAGCGGCAAAAGCUCAAAUUUGAAAUCUGGUACCUUCGGUGCCCGAGUUGUAAUUUGGAGAGGGCAACUUUGGGGCCGUUCCUUGUCUAUGUUCCUUGGAACAGGACGUCAUAGAGGGUGAGAAUCCCGUGUGGCGAGGAGUGCGGUUCUUUGUAAAGUGCCUUCGAAGAGUCGAGUUGUUUGGGAAUGCAGCUCUAAGUGGGUGGUAAAUUCCAUCUAAAGCUAAAUAUUGGCGAGAGACCGAUAGCGAACAAGUACAGUGAUGGAAAGAUGAAAAGAACUUUGAAAAGAGAGUGAAAAAGUACGUGAAAUUGUUGAAAGGGAAGGGCAUUUGAUCAGACAUGGUGUUUUGUGCCCUCUGCUCCUUGUGGGUAGGGGAAUCUCGCAUUUCACUGGGCCAGCAUCAGUUUUGGUGGCAGGAUAAAUCCAUAGGAAUGUAGCUUGCCUCGGUAAGUAUUAUAGCCUGUGGGAAUACUGCCAGCUGGGACUGAGGACUGCGACGUAAGUCAAGGAUGCUGGCAUAAUGGUUAUAUGCCGCCCGUC
rnacentral:rRNA from 1 species